UGUCCUUAGUACGAGAGGACCGGGAUGGACAUACCUCUGGUGUACCAGUUGUCGUGCCAACGGCAUAGCUGGGUAGCUAUGUAUGGACGGGAUAAGUGCUGAAAGCAUCUAAGCAUGAAGCCCCCCUCGAGAUGAGAUUUCCCAACUUCGGUUAUAAGAUCCCUCAAAGACGAUGAGGUGAAUAGGUUCGAGGUGGAAGCGUAGCGAUACGUGGAGCUGACGAAUACUAAUCGAUCGAAGACUUAAUCAA
rnacentral:rRNA from 1 species